GAUGAAGAACGCAGCGAAAUGCGAUACGUAAUGUGAAUUGCAAAUUCAGUGAAUCAUCGAGUCUUUGAACGCACAUUGCGCCCCCUGGUAUUCCGGGGGGCAUGCCUGUCCGAGCGUCAUUGCUGCCCUCAAGCACGGCUUGUGUGUUGGGCCCCGUCCUCCGAUCCCGGGGGACGGGCCCGAAAGGCAGCGGCGGCACCGCGUCCGGUCCUCGAGCGUAUGGGGCUUUGUCACCCGCUCUGUAGGCCCGGCCGGCGCUUGCCGAUCAACCCAAAUUUUUUAUCCAGGUUGACCUCGGAUCAGGUAGGGAUACCCGCUGAACUUAAGCAUAUCAGUAAGCGGAGGA
rnacentral:misc_RNA from 1 species